UCCUUUGACGUUAGCGGCGGACGGGUGAGUAACACGUGGGUAACCUACCUAUAAGACUGGGAUAACUUCGGGAAACCGGAGCUAAUACCGGAUAAUAUUUCGAACCGCAUGGUUCGAUAGUGAAAGGUGGUUUUGCUAUCACUUAUAGAUGGACCCGCGCCGUAUUAGCUAGUUGGUAAGGUAACGGCUUACCAAGGCGACGAUACGUAGCCGACCUGAGAGGGUGAUCGGCCACACUGGAACUGAGACACGGUCCAGACUCCUACGGGAGGCAGCAGCG
rnacentral:rRNA from 1 species